rnacentral:rRNA from 1 species
AAGGUAGCGAAAUUCCUUGUCGGGUAAGUUCCGACCUGCACGAAUGGCGUAACGAUGGCCGCGCUGUCUCUACCCGAGACUCAGUGAAGUUGAAAUCGCUGUGAAGAUGCAGUGUACCCGCGGCUAGACGGAAAGACCCCGUGAACCUUUACUAUAGCUUGACACUGAACAUUGAAUUUUGAUGUGUAGGAUAGGUGGGAGACUUUGAAGUAGUCACGCCAGUGAUUAUGGAGUCGUCCUUGAAAUACCACCCUUUAACGUUUGAUGUUCUAACGAAGAUUGCGAAACGCGGUCUCGGACAGUGUCUGGUGGGUAGUUUGACUGGGGCGGUCUCCUCCCAAAGCGUAACGGAGGAGCACGAAGGUUUGCUAAUCACGGUCGGACAUCGUGAGGUUAGUGCAAUGGUAUAAGCAAGCUUAACUGCGAGACAGACAAGUCGAGCAGGUACGAAAGUAGGUCAUAGUGAUCCGGUGGUUCUGAAUGGAAGGGCCAUCGCUCAACGGAUAAAAGGUACUCCGGGGAUAACAGGCUGAUUCCGCCCAAGAGUUCAUAUCGACGGCGGAGUUUGGCACCUCGAUGUCGGCUCAUCACAUCCUGGGGCUGUAGUCGGUCCCAAGGGUAUGGCUGUUCGCCAUUUAAAGUGGUACGUGAGCUGGGUUUAAAACGUCGUGAGACAGUUUGGUCCCUAUCUGCAGUGGGCGUUGGAAGUUUGACGGGGGCUGCUCCUAGUACGAGAGGACCGGAGUGGACGAACCUCUGGUGUACCGGUUGUCACGCCAGUGGCAUCGCCGGGUAGCUAAGUUCGGAAGAGAUAAGCGCUGAAAGCAUCUAAGCGCGAAACUCGCCUGAAGAUGAGACUUCCCUUGCGGUUUAACCGCACUAAAGAGUCGUUCGAGACCAGGACGUUGAUAGGUGGGGUGUGGAAGCGCGGUAACGUGUGAAGCUAACCCAUACUAAUUGCUCGUGAGGCUUGACUCU